GAUGAAGAACGUAGCGAAAUGCGAUACUUGGUGUGAAUUGCAGAAUCCCGUGAACCAUCGAGUCUUUGAACGCAAGUUGCGCCCGAAGCCAUUAGGCCGAGGGCACGCCUGCCUGGGCGUCACACGUCGUUGCCCCCCCAUCUACUCCUUCGGGAUUGCGGGGGGCGGAUGAUGGCCUCCCGUGCGCCUCGUCGCGCGGUUGGCAUAAAUGCCAAGUCCUCGGCGACGCACGCCACGACAAUCGGUGGUUGCGAAACCUCGGUUGCCCGUCGUGUGCGGUCGUCGCGCAUCAAGGGCUCGAAAAAAUUGCCGGGCUCCGGCUCGGCUUUCAACGCGACCCCAGGUCAGGCGGGGUUACCCGCUGAAUUUAAGCAUAUCAAUAAGCGGAGGA
rnacentral:misc_RNA from 1 species